rnacentral:rRNA from 1 species
UUAACACAUGCAAGUCGAGGGGAAACGACGGGGAAGCUUGCUUCCCCGGGCGUCGACCGGCGCACGGGUGAGUAACGCGUAUCCAACCUGCCUCUGACUGAGGGAUAACCCGUCGAAAGUCGGCCUAAUACCUCAUGGCAUCGUCUGCGGGCAUCCAACGACGAUUAAAGAUUUCAUCGGUCAGGGAUGGGGAUGCGUCUGAUUAGCUUGUUGGCGGGGUAACGGCCCACCAAGGCGACGAUCAGUAGGGGUUCUGAGAGGAAGGUCCCCCACAUUGGAACUGAGACACGGUCCAAACUCCUACGGGAGGCAGCAGUGAGGAAUAUUGGUCAAUGGGCGGAAGCCUGAACCAGCCAAGUAGCGUGCAGGAAGACGGCCCUAUGGGUUGUAAACUGCUUUUAUGCGGGGAUAAAGUGAGGGACGUGUCCUUCAUUGCAGGUACCGCAUGAAUAAGGACCGGCUAAUUCCGUGCCAGCAGCCGCGGUAAUACGGAAGGUCCGGGCGUUAUCCGGAUUUAUUGGGUUUAAAGGGAGCGUAGGCCGUGGAUUAAGCGUGUUGUGAAAUGCAGGUGCUCAACGUCUGCACUGCAGCGCGAACUGGUCCACUUGAGUGUGCGCAACGCAGGCGGAAUUCGUCGUGUAGCGGUGAAAUGCUUAGAUAUGACGAAGAACUCCGAUUGCGAAGGCAGCUUGCGGGAGCACAACUGACG